UAGUUCAAAGAGAUCCACUUCCAGCUAAUUAGGAGCUCCAACACCGCUCUCACGCGCUUUUCCUGCUUCUUACGGGGUUAACAGCACCGACAUAUGGAUAUACGCUAGACAGGAUCCCAGAGCCAUUAUGUCAAGGCAGUGACAAAUAUCCCUGAAGUAUGCGUCCCACAGUAAUGCGCUGCACUGUGACGGAAGAGAUGUUGGAAGCCAGCGAAGGGAGAUUUUUCCUUUUUUAUUCCCCAGAUGGAGCUGACAUCUGCACUUGUCAAACACCUGCUCUACCACCUCGCCCUGCCCCGGCGGUCUGAUGUCGGAGCAGCGGCUCACUCCCGAAUGUUCCCACGUAAUCCGCCUGGGACCGCAGACCCGCACUGCAUUUCAGCACCUGUUUGGAUGUGCAUGUGAUCCCGCUCGAAUUCUUUUGGAAGCUGGAGGAAGAGGAAGUUUUCCCACCAAGGAAAAAAAAAAUAGAAUGCAUUAUAUGGAUGGAAAGUUUUAUUAAGCAUGCCCUGAUUUAUGCACCGAUCAUACGCCAUUACUUUACGUGUACAUCAUAUCAUACCGCAAUUACUUUACGGUUUUCUAAGAGCACACAGAUUCAUUUCCACUCCCUCUUGCAAGGUGUCGAUCUUCCUGGUUGAGCUUUGACCUUACUUGACCAUCACAGUGGCUGUGUUCCACUCGAGCUCACCUCACUGGAUUAAGUAUCGGACAUCAGACAACCUGUGUGUGUGUGUGUGUGUGUGUGUGUGUGUGUGUGUGCGUGUGUGUGUGUGCGUGCGUGUGCGUGUGUGUGUGUGUGUGUGCGUGUGUGUGUGCGUGCGUGUGCGUGUGUGUGUGUGUGUGUGUGCGUGUGUGUGUGUGUGUGUGUGUGCGCGUGCGCACGUGCGUGUGCAGGGCUCUUCCUUUUCCAUAAUCCAGUUCCCUCGCUCCGCUGAGUCAUUCAACGAGCCAAAGUUGCAUGUACAUAAAGUCUCGUGACAGACACGCACUUACACGGACAUUUAACUGUCCAGAACCCCGUUGGCAGAGAAUUGCACGUGUUGAUGACAACCGACGCCUGCGCUGCGAAGUCAUCCGGUUGCUCAGCAUUUAAGAAAAAUCCACGCAACCCCUGGGCCCCCCUUCUUCUCCAAACCACCCAUGGUCUCCAGGUUGUACAAUUCUCGACCAAACCACAGACAGGGUCUUCCUCACCACCUCCAUGAUCCUGUUUUGGGUCACCAGUAUUGAGGCCAGCCCACUAGCACACAAUCGCAAAGAAAAGUGCACAAGCAGCUGUAGGCCGGUAAAGGAGCUUCAGAGAUGUCACCCUCAUCUAUCCCUUCCUAUGGAUGUGGACCCUCAGAUACUAAUCGGAAUCAAAUCAAAUAAAUAUACAGAUAUAUGUAUACAUUUGUGUCACCAGCAAUUGAUCGGACAAACCAAAAAUGUUU